rnacentral:rRNA from 1 species
UACGAUGGGUGCAAGCGUUACUCGGAAUUAUUGGGCGUAAAGAGCUUGUAGGCGGUCUGUCGCGUCUGCUGUGAAAAUCCGGGGCUCAACCCCGGACUUGCAGUGGGUACGGGCAGACUAGAGUGUGGUAGGGGAGACUGGAAUUCCUGGUGUAGCGGUGAAAUGCGCAGAUAUCAGGAGGAACACCGAUGGCGAAGGCAGGUCUCUGGGCCACUACUGACGCUGAGAAGCGAAAGCAUGGGGAGCGAACAGG